rnacentral:rRNA from 1 species
GAUGAACGCUAGCGGCAGGCCUAACACAUGCAAGUCGAGGGGUAACAGAGAAGCUUGCUUCUGCUGACGACCGGCGCACGGGUGCGUAACGCGUAUGCAACCUACCUCAUACAGGAGAAUAGCCCUUGGAAACGAGGAUUAAUACUCCAUAGUAUCAUUCUUUCGCAUGUUAGAAUGAUUAAAGAAUUUCGGUAUGAGAUGGGCAUGCGUCCCAUUAGCUUGUUGGUGAGGUAACGGCUCACCAAGGCAACGAUGGGUAGGGGGCCUGAGAGGGUGGUCCCCCACACUGGUACUGAGACACGGACCAGACUCCUACGGGAGGCAGCAGUGAGGAAUAUUGGUCAAUGGAGGAAACUCUGAACCAGCCAUGCCGCGUGAAGGAUGACGGCCCUAUGGGUUGUAAACUGCUUUUAUAUAGGAAGAAAAACUUCCACGUGAGAAAACUUGACGGUACUAUAAGAAUAAGGAUCGGCUAACUCCGUGCCAGCAGCCGCAGUAACAC